AUAUUUAAAAAGGAGUACCAAGAAAUUUUAUUUCAGGAGUUAUUUUCGUGUGCACAUAAGAAGAUAUAACUCUUCGCAAAAUAUUGGUGUCCAUUUGUCGCCCAAUGUGAAACUGGAGAAGUGAACUCUGUCUGUGCAUUUUCAGUGAUUGUACAGUAGAAUCAGGUGGCACACAUCAACGUGAGAUGGAUUUAUACCAGAUUCAAUUACAUUUAUCCCACUGAACUCUACUCCUGUUUUAAUUCUGAAUAUAAUAAUAGACCCCAUGGAAGUCGCCUUGAGCAAAUAAAUCUAACGAACUUGGAGAUUAAUUCUGGGUGAUGCAAGUGAUGCAAGGGUGAUAAUCGGUGAUAAGACAAAAAGAGGUGUGAUAGGAUGAUAAGAGGUGAUAGGAUGAUAAGAGAUGAUCAGAUGAUAAAACCGUGAUAGGAUGAUAGGAGGUCAUAUGAUAAGAGAUGAUCGGAUAAUAAGAGAUGAUCAGAUGAUAAAAGGGUGAUAGGAUCAUAGGAGGUGAUAUGAUGAUAAGAGAUGAUAUGAUGAUAAUAGAUGAUAUGAUGAUAAGAGGUGAUAUGAUGAUAAGAGGUGAUAGGAUGAUAAGAGGUGAUAUGAUGAUAAGAGAUGACUGGAUAAUAAGAGAUGAUCGGCUGAUAAGAUGUGAUAGGAUGAUAGUUACUUUUUAUAAGUGGUGAUAGGAUGAUAAGAUGUGAUAGAACAUUAAGAGGUGAUAGGAUGAUAGGAGGUGAUAGGACGAUAAGAGAUGAUCGGAUGAUAAAAGAUGAUCGGAUGAUAAGAGAUGGUCGGAUGAUAAGAGAUGAUCGGAUGAUAAGAGGUGAUAUGAUGAUAAUAGGUGAUCGGAUGAUAGGAGGUGAUAGGAUGAUAAGAGAUGAUCAGAUGAUAAAGAUGACCGGAUGAUAAGAGAUGAUAAGAGGUGAUAUGAUGAUGAGAGGUGAUAGGAUGAUAAGAGGUGAUAGAAUGAUAGGAGGUGAGAGGAUUGUAGGAUGUUAAGGGGUGAUAGGGUGAUAAGAUGUGAUAGGAAAAUAAGAGGGGAUAAGAGAUGAUAUGAGGUGAUAGAACAAUAAGAGGGGUUAGAACAAUAGUUGAUAUGAUGAUAAGGGGUGAUCGGAUGAUAGGAUGAUAAGAGGUGACUGGAUGAUAAAAGGUGAUCGGAUGAUAAGAAGUGAUGAGGUUAUAAGUGGUGAUAGGAUGAUAAGAUGUGAUAGAACAUUAAGAGGGGAUAGUACGAUAGGUGAUAGGAUAAUAAGAGAUGAUAGGAUGAUACGAGAUGAUAGGACACUAAGAGGGGAUAGAACAAUAGAUAAUAGGAUGAUAGGGGUGAUAUGAUAAUAAGGGGUGAUAUGAUGAUAAGAGGUGAUCGGAUAAUAAGAGGGGAUAGGACAAUAGGUAAUAUGAUAAUAAUGGGGGAUAGAAUAAACUUCCCAUAUAACGUGCAUUCCAGACUUACAUAAUAGGACAAUAAGAAGUGAUAGGAUGAUAGGUGAUAGGAUGGUAAGAGGUGAUAGUAUAAUAGGGGGUGAUAGGACAAUAAGAGGUGAUAGGAUGAUAGGUGAUAGGAUGGUAAGAGGUGAUAGGAUGAUAAGAGAUGAUAGGACAAUAAGAGGUGAUAGGAUAAUAAUGGAUGAUAGGACAAUAAGAGGUGAUAGGAUGAUAAGGGAUGAUAGAACAAUAAGAGAUGAUAGGUGAUAGGACAAUUAUUAUUAAUAUUAUUAUGAUAUUUAAAGAACGCCAUCAAAUUCCGCAGCGCUUUACAAUGCGUGGACGAACAGACAUGUACUUAUAACCAGACAAGUUGGACACACAGAAACAGAGGAGUUGAGGGCCCUGCUCAAUGUGCUUACAUGCUAGAGGAAGUGGGGUAAAAUGACACAAAAAGGUAAGGAUAGUAUUAGACUAGUGACAGUUGCAGAAGAGGAAUCAGUCAGGAGCUAUUAACAGUUUAAUUGAUACGCUUUUAUGAAGAAGUGGGUUUUUAAUGAUUUUUUGAAGGAGUGGAGACUGGGUGAGCAUCUAACGGAGGAGGGAAGCG